UUAUCGGAGAGUUUGAUCCUGGCUCAGGACGAACGCUGGCGGCGUGCCUAAUACAUGCAAGUCGAGCGGACAGAUGGGAGCUUGCUCCCUGAUGUUAGCGGCGGACGGGUGAGUAACACGUGGGUAACCUGCCUGUAAGACUGGGAUAACUCCGGGAAACCGGGGCUAAUACCGGAUGGUUGUUUGAACCGCAUGGUUCAAACAUAAAAGGUGGCUUCGGCUACCACUUACAGAUGGACCCGCGGCGCAUUAGCUAGUUGGUGAGGUAACGGCUCACCAAGGCAACGAUGCGUAGCCGACCUGAGAGGGUGAUCGACCACACUGGGACUGAGACACUACCAGACUCCUACGGGAGGCAGCAGUAGGGAAUCUUCCGCAAUGGACGAAAGUCUGACGGAGCAACGCCGCGUGAGUGAUGAAGGUUUUCGGAUCGUAAAGCUCUGUUGUUAGGGAAGAACAAGUACCGUUCGAAUAGGGCGGUACCUUGACGGUACCUAACCAGAAAGCCACGGCUAACUACGUGCCAGCAGCCGCGGUAAUACGUAGGUGGCAAGCGUUGUCCGGAAUUAUUGGGCGUAAAGGGCUCGCAGGCGGUUUCUUAAGUCUGAUGUGAAAGCCCCCGGCUCAACCGGGGAGGGUCAUUGGAAACUGGGGAACUUGAGUGCAGAAGAGGAGAGUGGAAUUCCACGUGUAGCGGUGAAAUGCGUAGAGAUGUGGAGGAACACCAGUGGCGAAGGCGACUCUCUGGUCUGUAACUGACGCUGAGGAGCGAAAGCGUGGGGAGCGAACAGGAUUAGAUACCCUGGUAGUCCACGCCGUAAACGAUGAGUGCUAAGUGUUAGGGGGUUUCCGCCCCUUAGUGCUGCAGCUAACGCAUUAAGCACUCCGCCUGGGGAGUACGGUCGCAAGACUGAAACUCAAAGGAAUUGACGGGGGGUACCGCACAAGCGGUGGAGCAUGUGGUUUAAUUCGAAGCAACGCGAAGAACCUUACCAGGUCUUGACAUCCUCUGACAAUCCUAGAGAUAGGACGUCCCCUUCGGGGGCAGAGUGACAGGUGGUGCAUGGUUGUCGUCAGCUCGUGUCGUGAGAUGUUGGGUUAAGUCCCGCAACGAGCGCAACCCUUGAUCUUAGUUGCCAGCAUUCAGUUGGGCACUCUAAGGUGACUGCCGGUGACAAACCGGAGGAAGGUGGGGAUGACGUCAAAUCAUCAUGCCCCUUAUGACCUGGGCUACACACGUGCUACAAUGGACAGAACAAAGGGCAGCGAAACCGCGAGGUUAAGCCAAUCCCACAAAUCUGUUCUCAGUUCGGAUCGCAGUCUGCAACUCGACUGCGUGAAGCUGGAAUCGCUAGUAAUCGCGGAUCAGCAUGCCGCGGUGAAUACGUUCCCGGCCUUGUACACACCGCCCGUCACACCACGAGAGUUUGUAACACCCGAAGUCGGUGAGGUAACCUUUUAGGAGCCAGCCGCCGAAGGUGGGACAGAUGAUUGGGGUGAAGUCGUAACAAGGUAGCCGUAUCGGAAGGUGCGGCUGGAUCACCUCCUUU
rnacentral:rRNA from 1 species